rnacentral:rRNA from 1 species
CCUACGGGCGGCAGCAGUGAGGAAUAUUGGUCAAUGGACGCGAGCCUGAACCAGCCAAGUAGCGUGAAGGAUGACUGCCCUAUGGGUUGUAAACUUCUUUUAUAUGGGAAUAAAAUGUUCCACGUGUGGGAUUUUGUAUGUACCUUAUGAAUAAGGAUCGGCUAACUCCGUGCCAGCAGCCGCGGUAAUACGGAGGAUCCGAGCGUUAUCCGGAUUUAUUGGGUGUAAAGGGAGCGUAGGUGGGUUGUUAAGUGAGUUGUGAAAGUGUGCGGCUCAACCGUAAAAUUGCAGUUGAAACUGGAGGUCUUGAGUACAGGAGAGGGAGACGGAAUUAGUGGUGUAGCGGUGAAAUGCGUAGAUAUGACGAAGAACUCCAGUUGCGAAGGCAGAUGACUAAACUGCAACUGACAUUGAUGCGAGAAAGUGUGGGUAGCAAACAGGAGUAGAUACCCGAGUAGUG